rnacentral:rRNA from 1 species
AGAGAAUAGAUACCCGGGUAGUCCUGGCCCUAAACGAUGUCCACUAGAUCGUGGCGGUUCUAACGCCGUCAUGGUCGAAAGCAAAAAAAGUGCUAAGUGGACCGCCUGGGAAGUACGGUCGCAAGGCUAAAACUCAAAGGAAUUGACGGGGGCUCACACAAGCGGUGGAGCAUGUGGUUCAAUUCGAAGCAACGCGCAGAACCUUACCUGGGCUUGACAUGCCAGGAUUAUCCCUAUGAAAGUAGGGUAGGCCCUUCGGGGUACAACUGGUACAGGUGCUGCAUGGCUGUCGUCAGCUCGUGUCGUGAGAUGUCGGGUUAAGUCCCUUAACGAGCGAAACCUUUGCCCUUAGUUACCAGCGGGUUGUGCCGGGGACUCUAAGGGGACUGCCGGUGUCAAACCGGAGGAAGGUGGAGAUGACGUCAAGUCCUCAUGGCCUUUAUGCCCAGGGCCACACACGUGCUACAAUGCGGCGCACAGAGCGAACCGAGAGCGCAAGCUGGAGGAAAUCGCACAAAUCGCCGCCCAGUUCAG